rnacentral:rRNA from 1 species
UACAUGGGGUGCAAACGUUGCUCGGAAUUAUUGGGCGUAAAGCGCACGUAGGUGGUCUGUUAUGUCAGAUGUGAAAGCCCUCGGCUUAACUGAGGAAGUGCACCUGAAACUGGCAGGCUUGAGUACAAAAGAGGGUCGCGGAAUUCCCGGUGUAGAGGUGAAAUUCGUAGAGAUCGGGAGGAACACCAGUGGCGAAGGCGGCCUUCUGGACCAGCACUGACACUCAAGCACGAAAGCGUGGGGAGCAAACAGG